CCAACCCAUCGGUUUCUCUCUACUGCCAAUCCCCAAUUUCAUUUCUUUUUCUUUCUUCAUUUCGAAAAAAAUUCCCCAAAUCGAAAGGAGUCCGAUCUCCGCCGCCCCGUCUCGGAUCUCACUUCCCGCCGUUCCUCCCGUUGUCCUUCUCUUUUAUGUGAAUUUGUGGUGUCAAAGAGUGGAGAGGAGAAGGGAGAUGGGGACGGCUUAUAUAUGCCUCAAGCCUUGGCAUUUUGUGCCUGAAAUCUUGGAAAGUUGAGCUUCUAUUUUGGGGCUGUCUCUUAGCUCUCUUUUGAGCUUGGUGUUUAUGCCUUGUAUGCCAAUUUGGUGCAAGCUUUGGCAUCUUGGAUUAGCUGACCUCACUGGUUGUGUGCAUGUACAUGCCCCUGCGGCCUUGGAUUAUGGAAAAGAGGAUUUGCCUACCCAAUUUGGCUUUAGGCGAUGAGCUCAGCUCCUCCCUGCUUUUGUUUCCAUUCCUCUUUUUGGUGGAUUUGUGGAAUCUUAGUCCUUGUUCAUUCUUUGGACUUUGGCCGAGGAGAUGUUCUGUUGAUCCUUUUGGUACAAUGUGGCUGUCGAAUUGGAGCCUUGUGGCUGCCGGAUCGAGAAAGAUGGGGAAGAGAGGAGAAGAAGUCUACUAAACAUCUCUCACUUUGUUUUGUUGCUAAGUUUAGCAAUUGGUUAAGCAAUAGGCCUUGAGUAGCUCUUUGACCAAUUCCUAAUUUAUCUACUAGCUAACUUUGGCUCUAACUUUGGCUCCCGCCAAUUCUUAGAGUAGAAUUAGUUGUCACUUCUUGCCUAAUUCCCAAAGUGGCUACAAGCCAAGUCUAAGCCUUGUACUUGUAGACAUGUAGCUUGUAUUUUUCUUCGUCUAAGCGUAUGUGUGUAGAGUCCCUUCCUAAGUGAGAGUCAUGGCAUGUACUACUUGUAUUUAAAUUCCUCCAAGUAUUUCUCUAAUAAAAGUAUCUCAUGUGCUUUUAUCCUUCAAA